CCAGACUCCUACGGGAGGCAGCAGUGGGGAAUAUUGCACAAUGGGGGAAACCCUGAUGCAGCAACGCCGCGUGAGUGAAGAAGUAUUUCGGUAUGUAAAGCUCUAUCAGCAGGGAAGAAGAUGACGGUACCUGACCAAGAAGCCCCGGCUAACUACGUGCCAGCAGCCGCGGUAAUACGUAGGGGGCAAGCGUUAUCCGGAUUUACUGGGUGUAAAGGGAGCGCAGACGGCAGUGCAAGUCUGGAGUGAAAGCCCGGGGCCCAACCCCGGAACUGCGCUGGAAACUGUGCGGCUAGAGUGCUGGAGGGGCAGGCGGAAUUCCUAGUGUAGCGGUGAAAUGCGUAGAUAUUAGGAGGAACACCAGUGGCGAAGGCGG
rnacentral:rRNA from 1 species